rnacentral:rRNA from 1 species
CGACGAUAUGCUUUGGGUAGCUGUAAGUAAGCGUUGAUCCAGAGAUUUCCGAAUGGGGGAACCCAGCAUGAGUUAUGUCAUGUUAUCGACAUGUGAAUUCAUAGCAUGUCAGAAGGCAGACCCGGAGAACUGAAACAUCUUAGUACCCGGAGGAAGAGAAAGAAAAAUCGAUUCCCUGAGUAGCGGCGAGCGAAACGGGAAGAGCCCAAACCAACAAGCUUGCUUGUUGGGGUUGUAGGACACUCUAUACGGAGUUACAAAAGAACAUGUUAGACGAAUCAUCUGGAAAGAUGAAUCAAAGAAGGUAAUAAUCCUGUAGUCGAAAACAUAUUCUCUCUUGAGUGGAUCCUGAGUACGACGGAGCACGUGAAAUUCCGUCGGAAUCUGGGAGGACCAUCUCCUAAGGCUAAAUACUCUCUAGUGACCGAUAGUGAACCAGUACCGUGAGGGAAAGGUGAAAAGUACCCCGGAAGGGGAGUGAAAGAGAACUUGAAACCGUGUGCUUACAAGUAGUCAGAGCCCGUUAAUGGGUGAUGGCGUGCCUUUUGUAGAAUGAACCGGCGAGUUACGAUCUGAUGCAAGGUUAAGCAGCAAAUGUGGAGCCGCAGCGAAAGCGAGUCUGAAUAGGGCGUUGAGUAUUUGGUCGUAGACCCGAAACCAGGUGAUCUACCCUUGGUCAGGUUGAAGUUCAGGUAACACUGAAUGGAGGACCGAACCGACUUACGUUGAAAAGUGAGCGGAUGAACUGAGGGUAGCGGAGAAAUUCCAAUCGAACUUGGAGAUAGCUGGUUCUCUCCGAAAUAGCUUUAGGGCUAGCCUCAAGUGAUGAUUAUUGGAGGUAGAGCACUGUUUGGACGAGGGGCCCCUCUCGGGUUACCGAAUUCAGACAAACUCCGAAUGCCAAUUAAUUUAACUUGGGAGUCAGAACAUGGGUGAUAAGGUCCGUGUUCGAAAGGGAAACAGCCCAGACCACCAGCUAAGGUCCCAAAAUAUAUGUUAAGUGGAAAAGGAUGUGGCGUUGCCCAGACAACUAGGAUGUUGGCUUAGAAGCAGCCAUCAUUUAAAGAGUGCGUAAUAGCUCACUAGUCGAGUGACACUGCGCCGAAAAUGUACCGGGGCUAAACAUAUUACCGAAGCUGUGGAUUGUCCUUUGGACAAUGGUAGGAGAGCGUUCUAAGGGCGUCGAAGCAUGAUCGCAAGGACAUGUGGAGCGCUUAGAAGUGAGAAUGCCGGUGUGAGUAGCGAAAGACGGGUGAGAAUCCCGUCCACCGAUUGACUAAGGUUUCCAGAGGAAGGCUCGUCCGCUCUGGGUUAGUCGGGUCCUAAGCUGAGGCCGACAGGCGUAGGCGAUGGAUAACAGGUUGAUAUUCCUGUACCACCUAGUAUCGUUUUAAUCGAUGGGGGGACGCAGUAGGAUAGGCGAAGCGUGCUGUUGGAGUGCACGUCCAAGCAGUAAGGCUGAGUGUUAGGCAAAUCCGGCACUCAUAAGGCUGAGCUGUGAUGGGGAGAGGAAAUUGUUUCCUCGAGUCGUUGAUUUCACACUGCCGAGAAAAGCCUCUAGAUAGAUAACAGGUGCCCGUACCGCAAACCGACACAGGUAGUCAAGAUGAGAAUUCUAAGGUGAGCGAGCGAACUCUCGUUAAGGAACUCGGCAAAAUGACCCCGUAACUUCGGGAGAAGGGGUGCUCUUUAGGGUUCACGCCCAGAAGAGCCGCAGUGAAUAGGCCCAAGCGACUGUUUAUCAAAAACACAGGUCUCUGCUAAACCGUAAGGUGAUGUAUAGGGGCUGACGCCUGCCCGGUGCUGGAAGGUUAAGAGGAGUGGUUAGCUUCUGCGAAGCUACGAAUCGAAGCCCCAGUAAACGGCGGCCGUAACUAUAACGGUCCUAAGGUAGCGAAAUUCCUUGUCGGGUAAGUUCCGACCCGCACGAAAGGCGUAACGAUUUGGGCACUGUCUCAACGAGAGACUCGGUGAAAUCAUAGUACCUGUGAAGAUGCAGGUUACCCGCGACAGGACGGAAAGACCCCGUGGAGCUUUACUGUAGCCUGAUAUUGAAAUUCGGCACAGCUUGUACAGGAUAGGUAGGAGCCUUUGAAACGUGAGCGCUAGCUUACGUGGAGGCGUUGGUGGGAUACUACCCUAGCUGUGUUGGCUUUCUAACCCGCACCACUUAUCGUGGUGGGAGACAGUGUCAGGCGGGCAGUUUGACUGGGGCGGUCGCCUCCUAAAAGGUAACGGAGGCGCUCAAAGGUUCCCUCAGAAUGGUUGGAAAUCAUUCAUAGAGUGUAAAGGCAUAAGGGAGCUUGACUGCGAGACCUACAAGUCGAGCAGGGUCGAAAGACGGACUUAGUGAUCCGGUGGUUCCGCAUGGAAGGGCCAUCGCUCAACGGAUAAAAGCUACCCCGGGGAUAACAGGCUUAUCUCCCCCAAGAGUUCACAUCGACGGGGAGGUUUGGCACCUCGAUGUCGGCUCAUCGCAUCCUGGGGCUGUAGUCGGUCCCAAGGGUUGGGCUGUUCGCCCAUUAAAGCGGUACGCGAGCUGGGUUCAGAACGUCGUGAGACAGUUCGGUCCCUAUCCGUCGUGGGCGUAGGAAAUUUGAGAGGAGCUGUCCUUAGUACGAGAGGACCGGGAUGGACAUACCUCUGGUGUACCAGUUGUCGUGCCAACGGCAUAGCUGGGUAGCUAUGUAUGGACGGGAUAAGUGCUGAAAGCAUCUAAGCAUGAAGCCCCCCUCAAGAUGAGAUUUCCCAACUUCGGUUAUAAGAUCCCUCGAAGAUGACGAGGUUAAUAGGUUCGAGGUGGAAGCGUGGUGACACGUGGAGCUGACGAAUACUAAUCGAUCGAAGACUUAAUCAAUUUUUUAAA